UACGAAGGGGGCUAGCGUUGUUCGGAAUCACUGGGCGUAAAGGGCGCGUAGGCGGCUUUAUAAGUCGGGGGUGAAAGUCACAGGCUCAACCUGUGAAUGCCGCUGGAAACUGUCUGGCUUGAGUCCGGAAGGGGCGAGUGGAAUUCCUGGUGUAGCGGUGAAAUGCGCAGAUAUCAGGAGGAACACCGAUGGCGAAGGCAGCUCGCUGGGACGGUACUGACGCUGAGGCGCGAAAGCGUGGGGAGCGAACAGG
rnacentral:rRNA from 1 species